GAAGUGCGUUUUUUCUGUAAAUUAUCUGAGUUUACUUUUACAUUCUGAAAUCUGUUGAACACAAUUGAGAUACCUAAUGUAAGAUGGUUUGGAGUUGAGGGAGACUACAAUGUUCUUAUAAUGGAUUUGCUUAGUCCCAGCCUUAAAAAUCUUUUUAACUUUCGUAGCAAAAAGCAUUCUUUGAAGACAAUUCCUAUGCUUGCAUAUCAAAUGAUAGAUUUCUUGGUUUUUUCUCCUUUCAUUUCUCUGUUCACUUCUCAUUUUGUCCUUGUCCCUAUCAAACAAUUUUCCCUCACAGCAUCUUCUUCUUUGGCACACAGAUCGCCGAUUACUCCACCAGAAUCAUAGGCUUUGUUGGAUGAUACUACACCAGAAUCAUAGACUAAUUUUCAAGAUAAACAUUCAUAGGAGUUGUUGGGGGAAAUUUUCUCCUCAGCAAGGAACCUCCUCAUUGUCCAAUUUUGCUUGAUUUUGGGCUUACUAAAAAGUUACCGACCACCAUGAAACAAGCACUGGCAAAGAUGUUUUUAGUCGUUGCAGAGAGGGAAGCUGAAAUGCAAGGAAUGUAUGCAAGGUAGUCGCAGGGAAGAGGUUAAGAUGUUGACACCUUACUAGGGCAUGCGUUGAGAACUAUGCUUCAGAUGAAUUUUAGAUUUGUUGUGAUAUCUGUGAGAAAUGGUUUCAUGGGAAAU